CCACUACUCCACUUCACAUCCCCACCAAAACUCUCUGGCUUCCACUACUAAGUGUAAUUCACGCUAAUUCCAUCUCCACUUUCACCUUUUCACUAGGGAUCGAAACCCUGGAGCCGCUCGCCGCUGAGCACCCUAGCGCGUCGCCCGCCGUUCUGCGCCCUAGCGUCGCCCGCCGCUCUGCACCCUAGCACCGCCGCACGCCGCUCUGCUGCAUCAGCCGCCGCACGCCUCCAGGCCAGAACACGCAGCACCGCGUUCUAUAGGCCCGUUGGAAUCGUUGGAGUUUAAAGAGAGAGGUAAUUGAAUUUGGUUGGUUGUUGCAGGGAGAGAAAGGCGAAACCCAAGGCUGCAGCAGAAUCCAAAGAUCCACAAAGUGUUGCAGCUAAGAAUCGAAGGGAACGGAUCAGUGAACUGCUAAAGAUUAUCUGCUUGCUCAGCUGCGAUGGUAUGACCAUCGCCGCAUUCCGUGCGCCUGCGACUCGCCAGGACUCUGGUUUGAAUCAAUGCGUUGAAAACCUAAUUGAGCGCGAAUCUUUUUAGGUUAGAGGGUUUUCUGCGGAAUUUAAUUGGUGAGCUCCAAAUUUGAGGGGAAUUGUGUGAAAAAGAGGAUUUUUCACCAGCUGCACAUGUCGUUUCUUGAGGAUUUGUUGCCGGUUGUGUGGGGAGGGGAAUUUGGGGAGAGAAUUCGAGUUUAUUCUGGAGUCAUUGAAAAAGUUGUCACGAUGGUUAGCCAAUGUUCAACUUUUCCAAUGUACAAUGGAGUUGCUUUUUGAUCAAGAGCUUGAAGAAAAAUUAUGAGUCCUAGAUUAAUUGGAGUUGUAGAUUAAGUGCUUAGUAAUUUAGACAUUUAAAAUUAUAUGUAGUUAGUAAUUUCAGACUUGUACUUUGAUUUUGUUAAAUAUUUUUUUAUGUAAAUGUUCUGUAUGAUAUUCUUGUUAUAUUUAAUAUUUAAUGUGUUGAGUA